rnacentral:rRNA from 1 species
CUACGGGCCGCUGCAGUCGGGAAUAUUGGACAAUGGGGGAAACCCUGAUCCAGCCAUGCCGCGUGUGUGAAGAAGGCCUUAGGGUUGUAAAGCACUUUUAGUAGUGAGGAAGGCUCAGUAGUUAAUACCUACUGGGAUUGACGUUAGCUACAGAAAAAGCACCGGCUAAUUUCGUGCCAGCAGCCGCGGUAAUACGAAAGGUGCAAGCGUUAAUCGGAAUUACUGGGCGUAAAGCGCGCGUAGGCGGCUUGGUAAGUUGGAUGUGAAAGCCCCGGGCUCAACCUGGGAACUGCAUCCAAAACUGCCUAGCUAGAGUAUGGUAGAGGAUGGCGGAAUUUCCUGUGUAGCGGUGAAAUGCGUAGAUAUAGGAAGGAACAUCAGUGGCGAAGGCGGCCAUCUGGACCAAUACUGACGCUGAGGUGCGAAAGCGUGGGGAGCAAACAGGAUUAGAUACCCCCGUAGUC